CCUUGCUGUCAGGCUAGCACCGCUGUCCUCAGCCGUCACCAUGAUCAUCUACCGGGACCUCAUCAGCCAUGACGAGCUGUUCUCUGACAUCGACAAGAUCCAGGAGAUUGCGGACGGGCUGUGCCUGGAGGUGGAGGGCAAGAUGGUCAGUAGAACAGAGGGUGCCAUCGAUGACUCACUCAUUGGUGGAAAUGCUUCCGCUGAAAGUCCAGAGGGCGAAGGCACUGAAAGCACAAUAGUCACCGGUGUUGACAUUGUCAUGAACCAUCACAUACAAGAAACCAGCUUCACAAAAGAGGCCUAAAAAAAGUACAUCAAAGACUACAUGAAAUCACUCAAGGGCAAACUUGAAGAACAGAAACCAGAAAGAGUAAAGCCUUUUAUGACUGGAGCUGCGGAGCAAAUUAAGCACAUCCUUGCUAACUUCAAUAAGUACCAGUUUUUUUUAUUGGUGAGAACAUGAAUCCAGAUGGUAUGGUUGCUCUCCUGGACUACCAUGAACAUGGUGUGACUCCAUUCAUGAUUUUCCUUAAGGAUGGCUUAGAGAUGGAAAAACAUUAACA